rnacentral:rRNA from 1 species
CGGGGGUAGAGCACUGUUUCGGCUAGGGGGCCAUCCCGGCUUACCAACCCGAUGCAAACUGCGAAUACCGGAGAAUGUUAUCACGGGAGACACACGGCGGGUGCUAACGUCCGUCGUGAAGAGGGAAACAACCCAGACCGCCAGCUAAGGUCCCAAAGUCAUGGUUAAGUGGGAAACGAUGUGGGAAGGCCCAGACAGCCAGGAUGUUGGCUUAGAAGCAGCCAUCAUUUAAAGAAAGCGUAAUAGCUCACUGGUCGAGUCGGCCUGCGCGGAAGAUGUAACGGGGCUAAACCAUGCAC